ensembl:lncRNA
GAAGAAAGACUGAAGGCAGGAGGAGAAGGGGACGACAGAGGAUGAGCUGGUUGGAUGGCAUCUCCGACACAAUGGAUGUGAGUUUGAGCAAGCUCUGGGAGUUGGUGAUGGACAGGGAAGCCUGGCAUGCUGCAGUCCAUGGGGUUGCAAAGAGUCAGACACAACUGAGUGACUGAACUGAACUGAAUACCUUCAUUUGGCCUUACAAGAACCUAGGCAGAGAACUCAACCAUCCCCACCUGGAUUCUUGACCUACAGAACUGUGAGCUAAUCCAUGUGGAUUCAGCUGCUAAAUCUGUGAUCAUUUACUACACAGCCACGGAAAACUGAUUCAGCCCUGGUCCACAACACACAGAGCCCACAAGGACCAGCCCCCAAGUGCCACACCAUCCAUGGAGCAUACGAGGUUUACACUCCAUGCAAGCCACAACCACCCAGUCCACUGUGGGUCCGUCCCAUCCACAGGCGCCUCAAAGUGCCCUCAACACUCACUGUGGAAAGUGUUCUGAGAAGCCUGUUGGAGACAGAGGGUAUUUCCUGCUGCCAGGCCCUCUCCCAGCUGGGUCAAAGGUGGCCACCUUCAGCCAAACACUCAAGCUCCCCCUCUUCAGGGCACCCCUGGGAAGUGGCUGCCUCACCCCAAACUGCAUUUCCCAGCUCUCCUUGCAUCUAGUAUGGCCCUAUGGGGACAAUAAGGCACUUAGAAGCUCCUGGAGCCACAGGCUAGGAGGAGGCUUGGUCACCAUGGAGAAGAACCACGAGCCAACCAGAACACCUGCAUUUUACCAUUAUGAGAAUGAAAGUGAAAGUGAAGUCGCUCAGUCGUGUCUGACUCUCUGGGACCCCAUGGACUGUAGCCUACCAGGCUCCUCCCUCCA